AGUGCUUUCUCAAUUCUGCAAAUCAAGUCUACAUAAUGAUGUAUUUAUUAUAUUAACACCUCACAGUACCUCAGUUUCUCUCUCACUGUCUUGCAGGGAAUGAGGAAAAAUAGCAUACACCUUUCAAAAACAUGUAUUGUUGCCAGGCCUAUAAUCCCCACUGCUGCGAAGAACUGACAUUCCCAAAAUGAUUCCUGUCUGUGCUGAAUCAAUGGAACAAGAGUGUGAUAUGUCUAUAUUAGAGCAAGUACUAGUAAUGAGAUUACCAAGCUAGCACCUACCCAUAAUCCAGUCUCGGCACCCCGGGAGCCUCCUCCUUUGCUGCUAUCCUGUUUGCUCACCCCAGCUGGGCCAGGAGACUCCUUUCUCUUCUCACUUCAGCGAUGGAAAAUAAAAGCGUGUUCUCUUUUCGCUUGCCUUUGUGUCCUUAACUGCGCUGGUACAUAAAUACAUACAUGAUCUUCCCCUGAUGCAACUUGACAAGCUAGGCUGACUGUUUGCUUCCGUAGCUGAUACUCACUGUGCUUAGUGGGGUCCCUGGUCCCAGA
rnacentral:lncRNA from 1 species